rnacentral:rRNA from 1 species
ACGUCAGAACUGUUUCGGUCUUCCAUCAGGGUUUCCCCUGACUUCAACCUGAUCAAGUAUAGUUCACCAUCUUUCGGGUCACAGCAUAUAUGCUCAAGGUACGCUCCAGUUAGAGGCAUAAAUAAUAUAAAUAUUAUUAUACAUAACUAUAUAGAACGCCCCGGGAUUGUGUUAAUCAACUAUAAAUAGUUAAAAAACUAAUCCCAUUAUUAGUCAAGUUAAUUACGCUAUUAGGUUU